rnacentral:rRNA from 1 species
UACGUAGGGGUGCGACGUUGCUCGGAAUCACUGGGCGUAAAGGGUGCGUAGGCGGGUCUUUAAGUCAGGGGUGAAAUCCUGGAGCUCAACUCCAGAACUGCCUUUGAUACUGAAGAUCUUGAAUUCGGGAGAGGUGAGUGGAACUGCGAGUGUAGAGGUGAAAUUCGUAGAUAUUCGCAAGAACACCAGUGGCGAAGGCGGCUCACUGGCCCGAUACUGACGCUGAGGCACGAAAGCGUGGGAGCAAACAGG